AUGAACAGAAAGAGGAAGUCCAAGAAAACAGAGGGACCCGGGAAGAGGAGCAGAAGGAGCCCCAGUCCCCCUGAGGCCUCCUUCUACAACGAACCUGGCACCUCCUCGUCAGCAUAUCCUGCCUACCUUGAUAGCAGUGCUGCCUUUGUGGACAAGUACGAGGAAGGGGAACUGCUGGGUGAAGUAGGCUUUGGAUCAGUCUUUGCUGGCUACUGCAAAGGGGACAAUAUGCCUGUAAGACUCAACACUUGCCAUACAACACACACACACACACACACAAUCUAUGAUUCAUGUAUCUGUACAUGGUAUAAGCUAAUCAAAUGUCUCUGUUUCUGCUCUGUAGAUGGCCAUUAAACAUAUCACCCAGUUUGGCAUUAAGCGCACACCAGUGGUAAGUGAUUUGCUCUUCGUCACGUAUCAACACAUAACAAUUCUUGACAUUUCUCCUUUUAAACCGACUAAAAAGUCAGAACACUUCUUACUUUUGGAUGUAUGUAUACAUGAAGGUUUCAUUAUUGGUGUUUCCUUCUCUUUCACUUGACUUAUAAAGCUUCUGGAUGGCAGAAUGUGCAAGGUCCCUGUGGAGGUGGCACUGGGACCAGUGUAGCCCUGGCCCUACUGGACUGGUACGAUCUGAACCACAAGCUGAUCCUCAUUCUGGAGAGACCAGUACCCGGCAUGGACCUCAUAGACUUUAUAAAUACUAGAGGGUCCCACCUGCAGGAGAAAGGCUAAAGUGAGUAGCUAGUGCCAUAUGUACUUCCAUGUUUCUGUAUGUGUCCACGCCCACCAUGUAACGCAGUUUGUUGUCUCUUUCUCUCUCCCUCAGACCAUAACCAAACAGAUGGUGGAUGCUCUGAUUGAAGUCAAGUCCAGUGGUGUGUUCCACAGGGACAUCAAGCUGGACAACAUUCUGAUUGAAACCGGCUCUGAGGUCCCACAAGUCAGAAUUAUUGACUUUGGCACAUUUCUGUCAGAAGAAGUGUACACAACAAAACAAGGUAGGCUGUCUUCUUAUAGUCAUGCUAAAGAAGCCAAA
rnacentral:lncRNA from 1 species